AGCGAACGCUGGCGGUAGGCCUAACACAUGCAAGUCGAACGGCCGCAUCGUGAGUGGUGGCGGUCAGGGGUGGAGCGUGUCGGAACGUGGCGGUAGACUCGGGAUAAUACAUGUAAGUGGGUGCUAAUACCGGGUGACUUCCGCUAGUACCGCAUUCGUCGUCUGUGGGAAAGCAGGGGAUCUUCGGACCUUGUGGGAUUGGAUGUGCCGAGGUCAGGUUAGCGAGUUGGCGGGGUAAAGGCGCAUCAAGGCGAAGAUACGAAGCUGGUCUGGGCGGAAGUUCAGACACACUGGAACUGAGACACGGUCCAGACUCCGACGGGAGGCAGCAGUGGGGAAGAGUGGACAAAGGGCGCAAGCCUGAUCCAGCCAUACCGCGUGGGUGAAGAAGGCCUUCGGGUUGUAAAGCCCUUUUGUUGGGAAAGAAAAGCAGCAGGUUAAUACCCCGCUGUUCUGACGGUACCCAAAGAAUAAGCACCGGCUAACUUCGUG
rnacentral:rRNA from 1 species